UACGAAGGGGGGCUAGCGUUGCUCGGAAUCACUGGGCGUAAAGCGCACGUAGGCGGCUUCUUAAGUCAGGGGUGAAAUCCUGGAGCUCAACUCCAGAACUGCCUUUGAUACUGAGGAGCUCGAGUCCGGGAGAGGUGAGUGGAACUCCGAGUGUAGAGGUGAAAUUCGUAGAUAUUCGGAAGAACACCAGUGGCGAAGGCGGCUCACUGGCCCGGUACUGACGCUGAGGUGCGAAAGCGUGGGGAGCAAACAGG
rnacentral:rRNA from 1 species